rnacentral:rRNA from 1 species
GAUGAACGCUGGCGGCGUGCUUAACACAUGCAAGUCGAACGGGAUCCCAGGAGCUUGCUCCUGGGUGAGAGUGGCGAACGGGUGAGUAAUGCGUGACCGACCUGCCCCAUACACCGGAAUAGCUCCUGGAAACGGGUGGUAAUGCCGGAUGCUCCAGUUGGAUGCAUGUCCUUCUGGGAAAGAUUCAUCGGUAUGGGAUGGGGUCGCGUCCUAUCAGCUUGAUGGCGGGGUAACGGCCCACCAUGGCUUCGACGGGUAGCCGGCCUGAGAGGGCGACCGGCCACAUUGGGACUGAGAUACGGCCCAGACUCCUACGGGAGGCAGCAGUGGGGAAUAUUGCACAAUGGGCGCAAGCCUGAUGCAGCGACGCCGCGUGCGGGAUGACGGCCUUCGGGUUGUAAACCGCUUUUGACUGGGAGCAAGCCCUUCGGGGUGAGUGUACCUUUCGAAUAAGCACCG